AAAACACGCGUCGUAAGCACAUUGGACGAAUUUCUUGGCUACAUACGUUUACCCCGUUUGAUGCUGCCGGGUAUUACGAAUACUUCCGAGGCGCCACUGCUCUGCGAAGACGCCAAGGAUGCAUAUCAUUAUUGAGAAUAUAUUGUUUGUAUGAGUAGAUCUUCUACUUUCUGCGCGAAUAUUAUGGCUCUUACUGAACUGUAACCAUAGCACCUAAUAAUAGGCCCAUUGCAAGAGGGACGUCUGUCAAUGUGUAACAGGACGAAGAUACAUAGUAUUAUGCAAACUGGUGUUAAUAUGGUCCUUGAGCUGUGGCUAACUUCCGAGUCAAAGGAGCGAAAUCACAAGAACUGUUGAUUGAAUACUUCAGCGAGGGAUUUACCGCUUAGCACUUUAUCG